AGAGUUUGAUCCUGGCUCAGGAUGAACGCUGGCGGCGUGCUUAACACAUGCAAGUCGAGCGAAGCACUUGAGGUUGAUUUCUUCGGAAUGAAAUCUCAUUUGACUGAGCGGCGGACGGGUGAGUAACGCGUGGGUGACCUGCCCCAUACCGGGGGAUAACAGCUGGAAACGGCUGCUAAUACCGCAUAAGCGCACGGAGCUGCAUGGCUCAGUGUGAAAAACUCCGGUGGUAUGGGAUGGGCCCGCGUCUGAUUAGGCAGUUGGCGGGGUAACGGCCCACCAAACCGACGAUCAGUAGCCGACCUGAGAGGGCGACCGGCCACAUUGGGACUGAGACACGGCCCAAACUCCUACGGGAGGCAGCAGUGGGGAAUAUUGCACAAUGGGGGAAACCCUGAUGCAGCGACGCCGCGUGAGCGAAGAAGUAUUUCGGUAUGUAAAGCUCUAUCAGCAGGGAAGAUGAUGACGGUACCUGACUAAGAAGCCCCGGCUAACUACGUGCCAGCAGCCGCGGU
rnacentral:rRNA from 1 species